GGAGCCGGGGGGCGGCCAGAGGGGCGGGCGGCCGCGGUGCGGGACGGGGCUGGGACGGCGCUGGUUCUGGAUGGGGAGGCUCCGGUGGCCCUCGGUUGGGCCCCGUGCGCCCCCGCGGGGAGAGGCGCCCCGUGCGGGGGCUGUGGGUGCCCAGGUCUUUGGCCUGGGGUGCAGUCCACACCGGGCUAAAGAGCGGAGCUGAACCCUCGGCCUGGCCUUGGUGAGGGCGGCCCUCAGCUGGGAGCAGGCAGGGACGUGCCCCUGUCGCACACCGGGUGACAGCCUGGGCUUGUUCAUUUGGGGCUCUUCUAAGGGUUGUGGCUUUUGUGUGAUAACUGCAGGAAUAGUGUUUGGCUGUCAAAGAUACGUGGCUUAGUGUGAGCAGCAGGAGGAGCUUUGCUCCCUCCUAAAGGUAGCCAUCCUCAGUAUGCCCACAGAGACAUAAAUCAAACUCGAAAAAGCUGAGAGAAUGGAUGAGAUGGUGUAAGACCUCUCUCAGAAUGGUAUGGGAGCAGCCAAGCUAGCUUGCUUCCCCAUUUUCUUACUUGUUUUUGCUGUCUAGUGUUGGCACAGCUUAGCCAGCUGACUAGCUGCCGUCUUGAGUUUCCGCAUGCCCUCUGGCUGGUUUGCAGGAGGUAGGCUGGAUUUUGAGCACCAGAUUGUGAGCUUUCCUGUACUGAACAUCAUCCGUGCUUGUGUUAGUCUCUGUGUCAGGGAGUGGGAAAUGAUCCAUUCGCCAAAUGGGAGAUGAAUUUAAUCUCUUUUAGGUUUAAGAGGACUGGAGUUCCCUGAAAUAAUACAUGGAAGAUCUUUGCUCAAAACUGUGAAGGAGGACGCUCAGAUUAUUGCACGGGUUGUGAAAUAACACCUUUUCUAGUUACAGCUGAUUCCUGUGAAAUAAAAUGCUUUAUUACUUCAAGAAGAUAUUCCAUUGAGAAGAGUUUUGCAGGCUUGCUGGAAGUCUUGGCUAAAGUCCAGGAAAAAUGGGGUUACACGUUUUUAUUUCAUUCUUCGGCUUCUCCUGGAGGUAAAUACAAUGCAUUUGCUCAGGAUAUUGCCUCACAGUAGCUGCAGGGGUGUAGUGGUCUGUUUACCCCAGGAUACACUUGAAUGAUGGACGAAGGGUGUCACGAGAUGUUUUCUGAAACAGUUACCUAAUCCGAACCUUGCAGCCGUUCAGGAUUUGUUGAUAUUUCAGUGAUGUGUGCCAUUCUUCCAUCUUUUUAAAUUCAGCUCCCUCUCGUUAAAAAGAACCUAAAGUAGUUGCUCACCUUCCUGUACAGUGCUCAGUGCGCUGGGCAGGAGGUACUUGUCCCCACCCCCAGCUUAUCCACUUUUGCCGUAUUCAUGGCUGAAGAAAAGGAGUGGAGGGAGGGUAUACUCUGUUGUUGCUAUAACUUUCACUAAUAUUUGCAUACAUCUCUAGAAUUCUGAAUUACAGGUACAGCCCCCUUUAUUUCUUUUCUACUUCUGAUUCUUCUCUACCCGGAUACCUUUAUAUUAGGUGUGCUGUGGGCGAAAAAAGGAUGGUGGCGUGAUGACUUUAGUCACAACAGUUGACUAGUGUAGACUUUAAGCCUAUGCUUGUAUCUGCAGCUGAUACCAGAUAAUGCUGGUAAGUGUUGCAGUGGGAUAACGGGGGAGCUUACUUGUCUUUUCCAUAACUGGCAGAAAACAUGGAUGUGGAAUCUUCACCCACAAUAAGUCUGCUGACCUAAAGACAGUAUGCUUUAUUUUUUAAACUGGUUUAUAAACAACUGGUAUUACCUGCAUUGGUUCCCUCUUUUUCUCCCUUUCCCCCCUUGUUUCAGUGCUGCUGCUCUGGCGAGGAGACAAGGAUGCAUCCUGUUUACAGACAAUUUUAUUUCACUGGUUUUACCAUAUUUCUAUAUCUGAAGAUGUAGAUGCCACUGAUGUCUCAGCUAAGAGUUGCUAUAGCACAUUGAAAUGUAGAAAAAAGGAGUUGCCUUCAGAAACUACCCUGAGGAAUGCCUGAUGCGAGAGAAAAGUAAAACAGUUUUCUGUGUAUGGGUAGUUCACUUCCCUCAGUUGGGGUGCCUGAUAUUUGUCUGUGUGUGGAUUACACUUAACAUCUCUGACAAGCUGUGAUCAGUAAUGAUGAAGCUUGUGUUAUACAUUUCAAACUUGGAUACUCUGCUCACCUGAAAGAGGUAAUGACCAAGUCUUUUCUGACCGAACAGUCUUAAUUGCAAGAUCCACAAGAAGCUUACGGUCCUAUUGCAGAAAUAAGUGUUGUCUCAGCAUUUCAUAUGAAAAGACUUAAGGUGAUGAUAGAAUUGAAAGCCCGCCUUUGGCAGGCUUAAAUACAUGGGUAUACUCUGGUUUAAUGCUGUUAAAUGAAAACUUACUCCAGCGUCUGUGGUCCUGAGCCUAUGAAGCUGAUAGGUUUGUCUAUACUUGGAUUAUGAUGCAGAUUUCCUACACUGCAGAAACUAUGGGUUGUCUUUGUUACUAAAGUGAUAUAGUCACUGUGGACUCAGGUAAGCGACGACCCAGUGUCCUGAAGACCUGGAGAGGUGGUUGGAAGAGCCUGCAGGAGGGAUGUGGAAGACAAGUAGGAAUGUGUGAUGUCUUUGCUCAAAGAAGAAUUUGAUUCUUCUAAGUUUAAGUUCCUAUUAGAAACCUGGCUUCAUAUUGUAGCUUUCAUUCUGACAAGUUCUUGCUGUUAAGGAAAACAGCAAGUGUUUGGAUGCUUUAAAUUGAGCCCUCACUGGAUAGUAGAGCAAACCCAGCUCUACAGUCUGCAUAAGAAACACAAAUAUACAAGAUUAAGUGUACAAAUAUAUUAUGUGAUAAUGUAAUUUUUAAGGUGUUUGAUAUUCUGCUGUCAUAGUGUUGACAUGUCAGUGCAGCUUGGAGGAGGGGCAGUAUGUUGGGGAUGUCUCAGUUCUUGCAAAUUGUCAGGCCUUGCAUAAUUCUUAGUGAAAAGAUUUUCAUGUGCACUCAAACAGGGAGUGGAAUGUGGUUUCUAAGGGUGAUUGAUACAAUCUGUGCUAGUCUUGGCACAUAAGUUUUGCUUUUUAAAUCCCACUUCCUUGAUUAUCCCAUAAAACUUAGUGGUCCACAGUCCCCUUGGAAGAAGGAGGAGGGUUGAAGUGUCGCUGACCAACUGCUUGCUUCAAAGCCUGUGGGGAAAGGGUGUAAACAUUUUGACAUUAAAGUUACUGCUCAGAUGCUGGAGGCUGAAGGAGCUGCUAUGAAGGUGUUUUGUUUGUAAUUGUCUCCCAUGGAGCUGUUUCCCAAAGAGUUACUGGAGCUGCCAAGGUGAGAGAGAGUGAAGGUAAGUACGUCUAUAAUGUGUUACUGUCUUCAAGUAUUUUAGUGAUAACAAUACAGAAAAAUACAUUGCAUUGUCUGCUUCAACAGGGAAGGCUUCUGUGCCUUUUUAAGUGUCCUCAAUGAAAUUGUGGGGAGGCAGCUGUUAAACCAAUUUCUGGAAGAACCCAGUAUUCCUGCACAGCCAAAAAAGUUUGUAAGCUCUGAAAAUAAUUCUAGUGACUAAUUAUAAAGUGUUAACUGUUUUUAUUUUUCAUCACGAGAAGAGUGCUCUAAGAGCAGUCAGGAACCUCUUCAGGUGGCACAGAUGUCGUCUUCGACUGGAACGUGGCAGCAGUUACACAGCAGGGAAGGGCGUGCAGGCUACUGCAAGUCCCUGGGCUCGUAAGAGCUGGUAUCUGAAAACUCGUUUUAGUAGAGAGAAAAACUCGGUUUCUUCCACAACUUUUAACUCCCUUGGAGUUAAAUGAGUGCUCAUCUAAUACUGAAAGAGGAAAUUACUUUUAUUGUAGGUAUUGGAGAAGGGCAUCAGAACAGGGGACCUAACAGCGUGGUCAGGGCACUGCAGUGGGCCUUGGAAAAAGUGCGGGUAGUUCACGUGCAGGAGACUCCAGCUGAGGGCAGCCCCCAGUUGGGAAGGUGUGCUGCCAGCGGGGGAAGCCUGGUAAACAGAGGAGAAUCAAGAAGUCGCGUAUGUUUUGCAGCUGUUUCUUUGUUACUUAGGGAGACCUCUGUACCUCUGAAGGUGGGGUGGCCGGAGAUGAGCAGUGAAGACCAUAGUGGUGUAGGCAUACCACAUUUGAGAGCAUAUACACAACUAUCCAGAAGCACCUAAAUGGGUUCAGUUGUGGUCAAGAGUCCUGAUUUCAUAGUAUCUGUGCUGCGUGCACCUAACUGAAGCAGAGCUAUCUGGCCGAGUACUGCACUGAAGAUAAGAGGCCUUCCCCACCCAUGGCUUGCUGGAGGCUGGCACGCAAGCAUGGCUCAGACAGGCCCCAGGGCGGAGUGUAAAUCUUCGGCUGUGUUCUAGCUGCAGUACGCAACAACGGGUGCACCUGCACGCUUGUGUGUGGAAUAAGAAAACAUGGGCAGGGCUGGUUCAGAUGUACUUUGUGCGUGCACUGCCCUCUUCAGCACAAAACCUGAUAAAGCCCUGUAUUACAUAAAGCAGGUAGGGGCAUUGCGCUGAGGUGGUGCUAGGUGUGUGCUCGCUCAGUUGCCGCUCAUCAUGUGAUGGUCUGUGUUGCGUAGUGGUAAACCUGAGUUGGGAGCCGAUACUGUUCAGCUGAUGUGCGUGCCUGUGCCAGACGAGUAGUCCGUGAGCUGAGCACAGUACUAGCUUGUAGUCCUUUAAAAAAAAGGGGGAAGGAGGAAGGAAUUUUUUUAAAGUGUUACACAAACUCUACUGGAACGAAAAGCCCACUGAAAAUACCGCUGUAGAAAUAAUUCAUUCUGGGAAAUGAUGAACGCUGUAACAAAGGCACUGUGAGUUUUCAGUUUCAGCAAUCUUCCAACUUGUUUCUGUGUUCUGAGGUUUGUAGGAAGUAGUGUUGGACACGGGGAGGGCGUGAAAGCCAUAACCACGGUGAAGAUGGAACAACUGGAAUUUUGUGUCAAAUUAUACACCAUUUAUUUUCUAACGAAGUCCUGCAACUAAAUUGAUAAUGCUGGAGUCCAUGAUUGUGCAUGCUAGUGCUCUCUGGUUCUUCAGCUAGUUGGAUGCAGUGGUGCAAAAUUAUAUGUUGGUUCUUACGUGAUUCAGCUUAAAAUACAAGCUUUGUCAGUGUGAGUACCGAAACAACAGUGUUAGGGUUGGAGCAUUCCUUACCGCGUGCAAAUAAUUUCACUUUGGGUAAGUAACACUGCACUGUGAAAAAGCACACGGCACUGUGGAGGGCAUCCUUUGACAGCAUCUCCGGUGCCAGAAUUCCCUGGGUUUGCUCCUCUUCUUUGCCUUGGACUCUGGUGUGAUCCCAAACUUCUAGACUUUCUGUACAUUACCACUGGUUGGCUCUUUUCUGCCAGCCAGGGUUUUUUCCUUUCCUUUUUUUUUUUUUUUUUUUUUCCUGUUUCCCUGCAAAUACUUCUUCCUGGAAAACUGGGAUCAACAGUAAGUAUCUCAGGUUCCUGGCCGAGCUCCCACUCACAUGGUUUCACUUGCUCCAUUCUGCGAAGUUAUUUACACGCAGUGUGCUAAGGAUGUAAUUUAGUGGGCUGCUAGUAAGCAGCUAACCUUUACCUCUUGGCCCCAGUCCACAUAAGCCAGGCUUACACAAGCCCGCUCCUCAGCAUGAAUUCAGUGGCUACUCUUGCAGCCCCUGGUUUCCUGUUGCACAACUUGAGGAAAAGACAGUGUUAUGCUGCUCUUGCAGAGAUUUUAAAAAUGGUCAUGCUAGGGUUGAUCACCUACCGAGUUGUGUGACCUGGAGUCUCCUCUGAACCUUGCUCUUCUGCAUUCACAAGACCUAGAGCUCUCGAGGAUACGUUUUUCAUGCCUUAAUGGGUCUGACAUGCUGCAAUAUAGGAGAGGUUUCUCAGCAUAAAGGUGUGAAGCUGACUAUUUAAGCUACCCUGCUCAAAGUAGAGCUGUCGUCUUACCUCAGGUUCAUAUCAGAGUUGGUUUGUAUCCAGUAGAGCCUAUUUGAGCAUGUAUUCCCAGGAGGAGUAUUACGUCAGCUUAAUGCUUUGAGCUCAGAAAAUGAAGUCACAGGGACUUUGGUGGUACUGCUGGUUUAAGGAAUUUAGUGUUCUUUUUGGCUCCUUGCCCUCCUGUGCCACACUACACUGGUCCCUCUCAUGCCAACACCACUAUCUGGAGCAGCACAGUGAGCUAUCGAUGUCUUAAUCAGGGCGUUGCACACCUUUCCUGCCCUGUGUAUGCUUUUCUGUGGCUCAGGAUGGAAGUGGAGGAGGUUUGUAAUUGUGCUGCUUUUUAAAACCAGGGUCAGGUUAGUGAGCUGGUUUAGAGCGUUUGCAACAUGGCAGUAAAAAUAAGUGGCCAGGUGCAUAGCAGAAGUCAGAAGUCCUUGGGCUUGUUGCUGAAGCCUCUUGACUCAUUAAACCGUGCAUCUGAGGAUGCAGUUUAUUUUGUGGGGGAGGAGCAGCAGCAGCAGCAGCGGCGUGACACUCGUGCACAUGGAUGCUUUCAUUAACCAUGUUUUUCUGCUUUAGGCAUCGGCCCAGCCCAGUGUUUUGCUGUGGACAGCCUUCUGACCGGGCAGUGGCAGCUCAAGAAACCCUGAUGUCUGUAAGCAGUCCUGGUGGUUGCUAGCUGCAGUCUGGACAAAUCCCAGUGGGAGAAAGCUAGAGUAUGAUGCAGAGCAGUUUGCUCCUAAAUUUUGCUUUUUAUGACUGUUACAGAGGGUACCACUUUGUUAUCUUAAAACAGAACUGAUUUCUUAUGCUUAGGGAGGUGUAUAUUGGCCCUGCACACCUAGCCCAAAAUCACUUUUACAUUCAACGGCAGUGUAGAUCUGCAAAAAGAGAAUUGGGCACUAAAAUGUUUCACGUACAACAGAUGAAAAGCCAAAGCUUGGUUUUCCACAUCAGCAUUUUUCAGUGCUUCUGAUAGGAGUGAAGUGAGCUUUGCCACUGCAAACUUACAAUCCAAACAUGACUUACUGCCUCCACUCUGGUAAUGAGUGUUGUCCUCAGCUGAGGAUGAUGUGGUGGCAGCUGUUUUAAAGUGACACGUGCAGUGGCUUUCCUUUGCUCUGCUUUGGUGAAUAUCAACUCAAAUAAUAAUUGUGUCCCCAAGGAGUUAGAUUAUUGCUGUUAACCUUUCUGGAAAAACAAAUGAGAGGUAGAGGCAGAUGCAAUCCUCGCGUGAAUUGGCAGGAGGGCGUUGCGCAGCCGAGGGGGUACUGUGCCUCACCAGGGAUGAGGGGCAGUCACGCUUUGCUAGCUCCUCUCGGGUUCAUUUAGCAAAUUCCUGCCCACUGGAAGCUCCUCUUGUCUCCAGGGUAGAUCGUGGCUGGAGCAACAGCUCUCCCGACACUCCCUCCUGGAAACAAGUGAGGAGAGGGAGUUUAUUUUACUAGGCACACAGGUCCAACGAAAAUAAGUUUGCUUACUCUUCAUUAUAAAGAAUUAAAUAUAUUUAAUUUACCAGUUAAUAAUUUAAAUUUUAAUAGUGUAAAUAUUUUUAUAAAUCCAUACCUGAAAAUAGAUGCAUAUAUUUAUAUAAAUGUAUAAAUACAUUUAUAUGUAUACUAAUAAAUAUAUGUUAAUAACAUAAAUUAACAAUAUUAUAAAAUAUAAUUUAAUAAGCCAGGGGAAUAGGAGAAAAAUAGAGGAGCUCUGUGUUGCCAACAGACUCCUGGGACAGAGAAGCUGUUCCUUCUUGAGAACAGAUGGAGCGUGAAAGUCUGGUCCCCAACAAACACAGUUUGUGUGAAUCACCUUGUUUUGUUACAGUUUCUAAUCACGUCUGCCUUUUAAACUCUCGUCCACGAGAAGGUUAUUUGGCUGUGGAUUAACCUUGUCAUGAGUACCGAGGCAUGUGACGUGCUUGGCCAUGGAAGCAGGUACGUGUGGGGUCUCUCGCAAGUUUCUGUCAACGCUGAAGUGUUGCAGCUCUCCGGAAUGGAUAACGGUGCCGCCGUUCAUUCUCGGUGCAUUGCAGCCUCAUUCACGUGGGUUUGACGGUAUCUCAACCAUCCCAACCCUUCGCUAGCGUCAGUUCUCUGUUAGCUGAAGGUAAAUUUAGGUACAAAUCAUGACAGCCAAGAUCCUGGGUUUGGAAUAUGCCCGCCUGCCUGUCAGUCAGCCGUGCUCUCUGGUACAGGUGGAUCUGCCUCUUGCGUGCAAUUUGUCAGUCUCAGUCCUCCCAAAGGAGGCGUGCACCUGAGUUUUCCCUGUGCGGGGGUAGUGCUUUAUGUGCACGACCCCCAGGUAAUGUGCACCUCUGGGCUGGCUACCCCAGUCUUUGCUGAAUCUACUGCUGAGCGCUCAGUGACCCAGCAGGGCGUGCAAGGCGUUACUUUGCUGGUGCCCCCCACCCACACAUAGCAUUUGGUUUUGGUCACCAUUUUGAUUCUGGCUAAUACAUAGGUGUUAAGGGAGGCUUUGUGCUGACACACAGGUUUUCCGAACUUUGGGUUUGCUCCUUUUCUGUAAUAUCUCCCUGCCACCCAUACGUAGUACAUUGCACUGAGGGGUCAGUCAGUAGGUUAUGCCCGGACGUUUGCAAGAAGCCUUAGGAUAAUUUCCCAUUUGUUCAGCUGUGUGGAGCUGGCGAUUCUGGUGGCUGCAGAAUUGCAGCUAUUGUGUCCCAUCAUUACAAAGAAGAAGGGGGGAAAAAAAAAAGCUUUGAGGAAAGAGCCUUCUUUUCCUUCUGUUUAUUGGGAUGACCUGAGCAGCUCCAGAGCUAGUGCAGGGGUCUGGUGGGAUGCUGCCCCCCACUCAUUCACGACCCGGCGGUGGGACAGCAGCACCCUGUGGUGGAGGAGGUGAGCGGACACCAGUCUCGGGAGGUGCUGCCUUCUACCUUUGUCACUUCCUGUCCCCAUGGCUUCUGUGUCCCCUUUCUUGAAGCUCGUUCCCAUUCUCGUUUGAAAAUGGCUGCUCUAAUAAAUACGUCCCUUUAGCACAAGUGGUCUUAGAUACAAGAGACCUGGACGUGUCUUGGCGUGCCACCAGGUGAACUUCUUUUCAUAGCUGACUGUGGAAAAAAGCUGCUGGUCCUUACGUAGUUUGUAACAGGGAUGACAUUUUCUUGGACCUUGUGCACAUUAUACCUUUGUAGAGUCGUGUGUGUGACCUCUGCUAAAUUUGACAAAGCACCUUAUGUGACCUGGUCUCCUCUUUGGUCACAGGAACUGUGACCAAAUAUUCUUUCACGGCCCUACUGUGGUAAUCUUGCAUUAGGGUUUUGAAACCCUGUGCUAAGUGAGAAGGCCAUAACGAGGUCAGAAUGUGAAGGUGGCUCUGCACUUUUUCCAAGGGUCCCCCAGAGCAGCUGUUGAUGGAAAGAACAUGUCUGACCCAUUUCCAUUUUUUUAAUAGAUGUUUCAGUUAAAUAAACCCCAGAGAAUCCCUACAUAUUCAGUGUAGUUUGCAAUCAAUCAUAUUUCUCCACUUUAUACAAAUAUGACCAUUUUUAUGUAAAAGCACACAAAUGACAUCCCUUAGUAGGCGUUUCUGUCGUGUUAUGUUAACAGCUGCAUGUAUCCACAUUGGGUAAGUCAGGAAUAUUUAAAUAACAAAUGUUAAAAUUGGGUCAUGAAUCACAAAAGUUAUUGAGCUUAGUCUUGAGAGGACCUGGAUCCUCUCCUGGAACAUUCAGCAGGUAAAUCAUUUACACCUCAGGACCAUGUUGUGCACUGGAGGACAUCUGUGUGAGUAUCUGGCUGCUGUUACUCUCUUUGGCAUCUCUUAUCUCUGGGGGAUAACCUUCCUUCUGGUUCCCACUGAAUCCCAGGGGUGGAAGGGGGUGGGAAAUAACAAAAGGUAGAUGGGAAGUGCUCUCCAUGUGCUGAGUUUCAUAUUUUUUAACCUUUGCAUGUUCUAAAUUUAAAGUAGCACCUUGCAUUUCCUAAAGUGAUGACACCUGAGGAUAAAUGUAUCUCUACAGCCAAUUGCCUGAAGUACUUCAAAAACAGAAGUGCCAUUUUGCAGAUACCCAGCGAAGGUGUGGAACCCCUGUACUGCUGGGAACCAGCCGGUCACCACUAAAGUAAAACAGAGAAAAACUUUCCAGCAGGUCGAGCAAACCCAGCCCUUCUUACAAUGUUAUACCUACAGUAUUAUGUUUAAAAACCCUUGGAAAACUAGUUGACAACAUUUUAAAAGAGGAGAUUCAAACACUUAACUACUUUUGGAGGGUUCCCCCCCAUUUUAAUGCACCAAUAAAUGUAGCUGACUACCAUUCCCACUUUAUUAAGCAUUAUCUCAGAAGCUAUCUGUAGAUAAAAUGUAACUUCUUGAACCUUCUUAUAAUAUCAGUUUUAACUACUCAUACCCGUUUACAUAUCCAGUUUUGUGGCAUCACUGACCAUGUUCACAUUUCGAAGUCCCAGACACAAAGUGGCUUUGUGUUAUUUCUUUAGAAAACAGUAAAAAUCAUGAAAGGAGCCCUGAUUUUCAAAACAGGAACAUUAGAUUUGCAUUUUAUUUUAAAUAAAAUUAAUGUAUGCACGUGCUUAUAAAGUCAAGGUUCAGGCAGGGUUUGUGGUGUGGUAGCCCAUCUCUUUUGCCUACAGAGCAGCAAAGAGAAUACGGAUUGUGUCAGCAGUCGUAAAUCCUCUCCGUACCUUCGCCCCCACCGCAGCCCUGGGGAUGCAGCUGGACAGGAUGCAGCUGCAAGCGGGGUGAGGGGAGGGCAGAGUCCCCCCGUCGCGGACCCCUGGCACCCCGGAAUGCUAGUGGGCUGAGCGAGGCCGACGGUCCCUCUCUCUCCCAAGCUCCCCGCUGCUCAGGGCGCACCUCCAGCUGAAGCCUGCAGCGGAUCCGAAUACUACGUGGUGCUGCAAAAUGCAGCCUUGGAGAGCCAGCUGUCAGGCACAGAUCUGCUGCAAGGCCGCUCUUUCAAGGCCAUGCUCCCUGUUCCCUCUGUGUUCCCUACAGCAGUGUGCCACUGUAGCACUGAUGUGAUGAGCGGGAUCUACUCAGACCACUGAUGAAGGAUGUGCUGGUUCACCUGGCCCUUGUGCAGGUGCCCUCAGGCAGGGUCUGCAGGGGGCCAUGGCUUCACAUGUCCCAUCCCACUCACCCCCCAGGCAUUUUCCACCUCCUCAGAAGUGUUUUUUGCAGCACAGCCAGGAUAGCUCUCUUCUUCAUAUAUUGAAAGAAUGACCCUGCUACAACCAAAAUAGGAUGUUUUUUCCAAGAACUGUGGAUGGCGGCGUAUGUAUGCAACUCCGUAGCUUUGGGGAUCCUCUGGAGGUGGAUGCAGGCAGGGCAUUCCAGCUUCAAGUCCUCAAGAGCAGCGUAAAACAUGUAUAAUCAUGUUCUUCUGCAUAUGCUCGUCCUGUAUAAGAUGAAGGUAUGUGUCAUAUGCUUAAUAUUAAAUGGACUAAACAGGU